GCGGCCGCCACCAGCCGGAAUAGCAGCCGGCGGAGCCCGUGCGCACCGCAGCGCAGCGCAGCGGCCGGGGGGUGCGGGCGCCCUUGCCGCCCGGAUACCUGCCGCUGCCUGGGCGCCCCCACUGCCUCCCUUCCGCGCUUCUCCCCUCCCGCAGACGCCGGCCGGGGCGACCCCUCCCAGGGUGACCAGGGGGAGGUGUUCCACGUGGCCAUAGCGUUUGCGUCACAAUGACCUGGCGGACAGGUGGGAGCCACAGCAUACACCCCAGGGUUCCCUCCGUGCCGUGCGUAGUGCCUGCUGCUUGCUUCCAGGUUAAAUUUCUGUAGCUUUAGAGGACGGGAGACUUCAUGACUUCAAUGCCAAGAAAAGUUACAGAGGCCUGCUGUACCUGGAAAUCAAGUUUGAGCUUCAAGAGUAAAGGCCAUGUUUUAAAAACAGCUGUGAAAGAAGCAAACCAUUGUUUAGGGACCCUGCAGUGUGCAGAUCACAGGAAGAAAAAGUGUUGGCGUAGCUGCUUCCUAAUGUUAUCUAUGUGGAAAUGAAACAUCAAUGUACUAUGACUUCAUCCCUGGCUAUGUUGUAUAUUUAUAAAUAAGUUCAUUCAGUCGUCGUUGAAACAAUUUCAAAGGGCCGAAUGAUAGUUAUUGAGUAAUGAUGCAGACAAAUCUGAAAUCCUGUGCUAACAUGGAUGGAGUGCUAGCUAUAUGUCCGGCACAUGCUGUAUGCUUUACAUUUAAUCCUUACAGCAACCCAAUACUGUAGAUAAAAUCAUUAUCCCGAUUUCACAAAUGAAUACACUGCCCAGAGUGCCAUAAAGAGAUUAUUGAGCAGGGAUUUGAAUCUGAACUAGGAGACUUAGCUUAAUCUGAAGAUAGCUUGGUGUCUUGCCAGAAUGGAUGGAGAAAAAGUAUAGAAGAUGUUGAUACUUUAAUAGAAAGAUAGUAAGAUAGCAUAGCUCCAGAAAUUUACAUAACCUUUAAAGUUAUUCUUUGGGGAUUCUGUUUGUCAUAUAUUUGAGCCUGUCCUAGUCUAACACAAAUUUUGGAGCUGAGUAAACAGCUCCUUAAUAAGUGUAUGAGUAAACAAAUCAUGAAUAUGGUCUACAGAAUAGUAAAUUGUUGAAAAGCUGAGAUUCAGGAGAAAUUUUCAGAGAGAAAAGCAUUGCUUAUAUAUAUUUGGCUCUUACAAGAAACAUUCAAACUAACCCGUUAACAACACAAGCCAAAUGAUUUUGCCAUAUGUAAGAAGAAGAAGAAAAAUACCCAAAACCUUCAAAAUGAGAAAAGCUUCCUUACAAAAGAAAGAUUGUUAAGAUAUUUUAAAAUACAUUGAUUCCAAGAACUGUAAAUUUAUGUGUAAAAAUCUAUUAUCAGGAGUUAAAAGGAUAAAGAGAUUAUUAUUCUUUAACAGAAUGAAGUGCCGUAAUGAACGUCAUAGGUGCUCAAUAAACGUUGACUGAGCAUAUCA